CCCCUAGAUGUUCUGGGCCGCACGCGCGCUACACUGAACAGUUCAACAAGUCUUAACCUUGGCCGAUAGGUCUGGGUAAUCUUUGAACGCUGUUCGUGAUUGGGAUAGACCUUUGCAAUUAUGGGUCUUCAACGAGGAAUUCCUAGUAAACGCAAGUCAUCAGCUUGCAUUGAUUACGUCCCUGCCCUUUGUACACACCGCCCGUCGCUCCUACCGAUUGAGUGUUCCGGUGAAUAAUUCGGACUGCAGCAGCGUGGGGACUCCUCAUGCUGCAGCGGAAAGUUUGGUGAACCUUAACACUUAGAGGAAGGAGAAGUCGUAACA
rnacentral:rRNA from 1 species